CGGACGGGUGAGUAACGCGUGGGUAACCUGCCUCACACUGGGGGACAACAGUUAGAAAUGACUGCUAAUACCGCAUAAGCGCACAGGAUCGCAUGGUCCGGUGUGAAAAACUCCGGUGGUGUGAGAUGGAUCCGCGUCUGAUUAGGUAGUUGGUGGGGUAACGGCCCACCAAGCCGACGAUCAGUAGCCGACCUGAGAGGGUGACCGGCCACAUUGGGACUGAGACACGGCCCAA
rnacentral:rRNA from 1 species